AUAUAUGCAUCUCAUAACUAGGUCAACCAAUGCUAAUGAGAUAAUCUAUCUUGUUUUAACUAAUUUAAACAUAUCUAUUGUUUUACAUCCAACUAAUUCAUGUUAUCUGUUAAUCUUAAUUUUCUGCUGGUGCAGAUCCUUCAAACGUCAACCUCAUCAUAGGUGAGUCCCUGUAAACUCUUAACAGACUUUCGUAGGAAAGCACUCCACUGAACCAGUCAUCUAACAUAACAUUUAAUGAUAGAUGACCAACAAAACAGUCAAGACGUGGCUUUCUCCGGAAAUUCUCAGUAGAGCAUUCUCUCUUGCACCCCCAACCUAAUUUGUUCUCUCUCUUUUAUCCUUCCUACCUCCUCUUCUCUUCUUUCCAAUAUCAUAAAUUUAUUCCUUCAUAAAAUUGGGUGGAAGGGGGAUAACUCCCUCCCUUUUUAUAAAAAAUAAAAAAAUAAAGUAAAAAGAAGGGCAUGGUAUAAACAGUUUAUUCAUUAGACCUCACCUAUAAAAUUUCCAUGUGACUUUUUUAAGUAUUCGAGAUGGAGUGACUCUUAGGAGGAACUGCAUGACAUUGGUAAAAACU
rnacentral:lncRNA from 1 species